rnacentral:rRNA from 1 species
GACGAACGCUGGCGGCGUGCCUAAUACAUGCAAGUUGAGCGCUGAAGGUUGGUACUUGUACCAACUGGAUGAGCAGCGAACGGGUGAGUAACGCGUGGGGAAUCUGCCUUUGAGCGGGGGACAACAUUUGGAAACGAAUGCUAAUGCCGCAUAAAAACUUUAAACACAAGUUUUAAGGUUGAAAGAUGCAAUUGCAUCACUCAAAGAUGAUCCCGCGUUGUAUUAGCUAGUUGGUGAGGUAAAGGCUCACCAAGGCGAUGAUACAUAGCCGACCUGAGAGGGUGAUCGGCCACAUUGGGACUGAGACACGGCCCAAACUCCUACGGGAGGCAGCAGUAGGGAAUCUUCGGCAAUGGACGAAAGUCUGACCGAGCAACGCCGCGUGAGUGGAGAAGGUUUUCGGAUCGUAAAACUCUGUUGGUAGAGAAGAAAGUUGGUGAGAGUGGAAAGCUCAUCAAGUGACGGUAACUACCCAGAAAGGGACGGCUAACUACGUG